UAGGGAAUCUUCGGCAAUGGGGGCAACCCUGACCGAGCAACGCCGCGUGAGUGAAGAAGGCCUUCGGAUCGUAAAACUCUGUUGUUAGAGAAGAACACGAGUGAGAGUAACUGUUCAUUCGAUGACGGUAUCUAACCAGCAAGUCACGGCUAACUACGUGUCAG
rnacentral:rRNA from 1 species